AUUCCUGAUGAUAUAAAGAAGCAUGGCCGACUCGGGAUGUUGAUAUUUUUUCAAGGGCUUAUUUCCUGAAGUUUUGAAUGGAAAGUGUCAGAAAUGGUAAGAAUACUGCUUUUUUAUUGCCCAGCAGUGCCAGGGCAAUGUUUCAUAGAGUGGAAUGAUUGACCUCAACACAAGUAUUAAAAAAAAGAAGCAAAACAGGUCUACAUCUCAAAACCUGAUCUCUUCCUGGACUGGCUUUAGGAGAACGAUGAUGCAUAUCAAUUUCAUCCCUGAUCUCUAUGACACCUGUGGUGGAAGUGGAGGGCAAAUCGUAAUCAGUUUGGGUUCCAGCCCUGAGGACCUCUGUAAACUUUGCUUUUUGGUGAUGACUUAAUUUCCGAGCUUGAAAAGGACGCUUGUGUAUUUAUCAUGGCCUCUCAUAUUGGAAGAUAACAUUAAUGGCUUGUGUGUUGAUCGACGGUUGUGCAUAUCUCUUGGUCAGGAAAGCUGUAGGCACCAUCGCCAUUGUAAAUCAUUUGACAGGCCCGAGUGAACGUGGCGACCUAUGAUUGGUCAGCAAUGUAUCAGAUUCCAUACCAGGGGGUGGGGAUGAAAAAACUGUUGUAGUGUUACAUAAUCAGAUUAUUUCAACUUACUUAUCCUGUGGAAAUACAGCUACAUAGGAGAUAUUUUGAAAUUCAUAGGCACUGCAUGUUCCAACAUUUUAGAUUUGACCACAAUUUGGCACUUGAAACUAUGUUAACAGAGAAAAACUGUGUGGUUUUCGAUGAAAGUGUUAAAAGUCUAAUAUUGCAUCAUGAUAACUGUUUUAAAGUAUUUUCGUGUUUGAUUUAUAUUGAAUUCAUCUCAUCUUUUUGAAGAAUGCAUUUAUGUUCAAAAAUAAAAAUGUUCUGUGGAAUUCAAAAUUCAUGUGCUUUUAAAUUAUCAGAUUCCAAACUGGGGGGUGGGGAUGAAAAAGCUGUUGUAGUGUUACAUAAUCAGAUUAUUUCAACUUACUUAUCCUAUGGAAAUACAGCUAUAUAGGAGAUAUUUUAAAAUUGAUAGGCACUGCAUGUUUCAACAUUUUAGAUUUGACCACAAUUUGGCACUUGAAACUACGUUAACAGAGAAAAACUGUGUGGUUUUCGAUGAAAGUGUUAAAAAGUCUAAUAUUGCAUCAUGAUUACUGUUUUAAAGUAUUUUCGUGUUUGAUUUAUAUUGAAUUUAUCUCAUCUUUUUACAGAAUGCAUUUAUGUUCAAAAAUAAAAAUGUUCUGUUUAAUUCAAAAUUCAUGUGCUUUUAAAUUUCUGUCUGAAAUUCCGCAGUUUUCUGAUGUAUUAUAGUGUUUUCAGAAUGCCGCACAGCUCAUCUGAAAAUGCAUAGAUUUUCAUAUUCUUUGGCCAGGGAAUUGCAUAUAUGUUUGUUUAUUAGAUAACAACAGAUUUGUUUAAACUGCAGAAACAUGUGAGGUAUAUAGGACUAAGACUAGUAAUUAUUUCCCCUUAUUUCAUGAUGGAUGAAUGUAGUGCGAGUUAUAAAUAGACAAUUUUUCCCUUAAUUUUUUUCUCCCCUCUUCCUGCAUUUUUGGGUUGACUUUUUGGUCUAGAAUUGGAGAAAAGGGAUCAAAUUUGCAAUUUCAUAGCAGUUUUGGGUAAUACUGAUGAUAUUACAGCGGAGGAAUAGGGGGUGUAAAGUGUCUUUCUGCAGAGCAAUCAUUGUGUCGGAAGUGAGAUUUUCACCCCUGUCAACUUCAAAUCCGUGUAGCAAAAAAUCUAAACGGUCAACCCCCUACAAAAUUAUGAUGAGGAGAUUGCCAAAUGUUGUCCCCAU